GGUUUCCUUCCGGUUGAUGAGGUAGAUGUACCUCAUCAAUCGGAGGGGUUUCCUUCCGGUUGAUGAGGUACAUGUACCUCGUUGACCGGAAGGAAACC
rnacentral:miRNA from 1 species